GGCGGACGGGUGAGUAAUGUCUGGGAAACUGCCUGAUGGAGGGGGAUAACUACUGGAAACGGUGGCUAAUACCGCAUAACGUCGCAAGACCAAAGAGGGGGACCUUCGGGCCUCUUGCCAUCAGAUGUGCCCAGAUGGGAUUAGCUUGUUGGUGAGGUAACGGCUCACCAAGGCGACGAUCCCUAGCUGGUCUGAGAGGAUGACCAGCCACACUGGAACUGAGACACGGUCCAGACUCCUACGGGAGGCAGCAGUGGGGAAUAUUGCACAAUGGGCGCAAGCCUGAUGCAGCCAUGCCGCGUGUAUGAAGAAGGCCUUCGGGUUGUAAAGUACUUUCAGCGGGGAGGAAGGUGUUGUGGUUAAUAACCGCAGCAAUUGACGUUACCCGCAGAAGAAGCACCGGCUAACUCCGUGCCAGCAGCCGCGGUAAUACGGAGGGUGCAAGCGUUAAUCGGAAUUACUGGGCGUAAAGCGCACGCAGGCGGUCUGUCAAGUCGGAUGUGAAAUCCCCGGGCUCAACCUGGGAACUGCAUUCGAAACUGGCAGGCUUGAGUCUUGUAGAGGGGGGUAGAAUUCCAGGUGUAGCGGUGAAAUGCGUAGAGAUCUGGAGGAAUACCGGUGGCGAAGGCGGCCCCCUGGACAAAGACUGACGCUCAGGUGCGAAAGCGUGGGGAGCAAACAGGAUUAGAUACCCUGGUAGUCCACGCCGUAAACGAUGUCUACUUGGAGGUUGUGCCCUUGAGGCGUGGCUUCCGGAGCUAACGCGUUAAGUAGACCGCCUGGGGAGUACGGCCGCAAGGUUAAAACUCAAAUGAAUUGACGGGGGCCCGCACAAGCGGUGGAGCAUGUGGUUUAAUUCGAUGCAACGCGAAGAACCUUACCUGGUCUUGACAUCCACAGAAGAAUCCAGAGAUGGAUUUGUGCCUUCGGGAACUGUGAGACAGGUGCUGCAUGGCUGUCGUCAGCUCGUGUUGUGAAAUGUUGGGUUAAGUCCCGCAACGAGCGCAAC
rnacentral:rRNA from 1 species